GUCUUAGGGAAGUAAAUGGAGAUGGGAAGAUGAGCAUGUUCAGUCCACCUUGCCUCAGCAACCCAAUGUAUAAAGGUCUUGUCUUGUGUUUUCUUGAAAAAGCAUUU